AUGGGGGAUGAGCAAGGAGAAGCCCAGGAAGCAUUGUGGCUGCAACACUUGCUUGCAGCAGCGGAUAAAUAUGAUCUCCAAAGACUCAAAGGACUAUGUGAAGAGGAGCUGUGCGAACACAUAGAUGUGAGCUCGGUGACGACUAUUCUUACUCUAGCCGAGCAGCAUAAUUGUCAUGGGUUGAAGGAGGUUUGCUUUGAAUUCAUCAAGACUCCCGCCAAUUUGAAGGAGAUAACGGCGGCUGACGGCUUGGAGGACAUAACUAGAACCUGUCCUUCUCUUCUGAAGGAGCUCAUUGCUAAGCUUGCUUCCUAA
rnacentral:rRNA from 1 species